GACGAACGCUGGCGGCGUGCUUAACACAUGCAAGUCGAACGGUGAAGCGCCUUCCUUUUUGGUGGGUGUGGAUGAGUGGCGAACGGGUGAGUAACACGUGAGUAACCUGCCCCCUUCUUCUGGAUAACCGCAUGAAAGUGUGGCUAAUACGGGAUAUUCUGGGUCUGUCGCAUGAUGGGUCUGGGAAAGAUAUUGUUUCGGUGGGGGAUGGGCUCGCUGCCUAUCAGCUUGUUGGUGGGGUGAUGGCCUACCAAGGCGGUGACGGGUAGCCGGCCUGAGAGGGUGGACGGUCACACUGGGACUGAGACACGGCCCAGACUCCUACGGGAGGCAGCAGUGGGGAAUAUUGCACAAUGGGCGCAAGCCUGAUGCAGCGACGCCGCGUGAGGGAUGGAGGCCUGCGGGUUGUGAACCUCUUUCGCCAGUGAAGCAGGCCUGCCUCGUUUGUGGGUGGGUUGACGGUAGCUGGAUAAGAAGCGCCGGCUAACUACGUG
rnacentral:rRNA from 1 species